rnacentral:misc_RNA from 1 species
AUAUUUCCAGAUGCUGGUGCUGCUGCACUGCUAAAAUAUCAGUGGAAAGAUGGCUUUAAUUCUCUGACAUCCUGUUUCUUCAAUAAGUUUAUCUAAGAAAAUCCUUGAAAGUUCCCAGAGCUCAGCUUGUGCACCUUCAUCAUCUAGAAACUGCAACUGAGGAAUUAAGAGCUCAACUAUGGCUCUCAUGCCUCCUGAAGA